rnacentral:rRNA from 1 species
UUGACCUCGGAUCAGGUAGGAAUACCCGCUGAACUUAAGCAUAUCAAAAGGCGGGGAGGAA